GGAGAGGUGGCCGAGUGGUAAGGCUGCGGCGUGCUAAGCCGUCGACGGGGUUCGCCCCGCGCAGGUUCGAUCCCUGCUCUCUCCGC
rnacentral:tRNA from 1 species